GGGCAGAUAUGACAGCUCUCCCGAAGCAUGCCAUGGACGUCACGUGCUUUGGGCGCACGAGGUCGGGGGUUCGAAUCCCCCCUCCCCG
rnacentral:tRNA from 1 species